rnacentral:rRNA from 1 species
AAGUUUUUCGCUAAGGGAUCAGUCUAUGUUCCAUCAGCUUGUUGGUGAGGUAAUGGCUCACCAAGGCUAUGACGGAUAUCUGGUUUGAGAGGAUGAUCAGACACACUGGAACUGAGACACGGUCCAGACUCCUACGGGAGGCAGCAGUGAGGAAUAUUGCACAAUGGAGGAAACUCUGAUGCAGCAACGCCGCGUGGAGGAUGACGCAUUUCGGUGCGUAAACUCCUUUUAUUAGGGAAGAUAAUGACGGUACCUAAUGAAUAAGCACCGGCUAACUCCGUGCCAGCAGCCGCGGUAAUACGGAGGGUGCAAGCGUUACUCGGAAUCACUGGGCGUAAAGGGUGCGUAGGCUGGCUUUUAAGUCAGAUGUGAAAUCCAAUGGCUCAACCAUUGAACUGCAUUUGAAACUGAAAGCCUAGAGUUCAGAAGGGGCAGAUGGAAUUAGUGGUGUAGGGGUAAAAUCCGUAGAUAUCACUAGGAAUAUCAAAAGCGAAGGCGAU